CAGGCAGCGCGGGCAGGAGCGAGACCGCGCAGACUGCGUCUUCCCCACGAACCCUAGCCGCGUCCUCGCCUCCUCCUCCAUCCGCGCCGCCUCCUCGCCUCCUCCUCCGUUCGCGCGCCGCGUCCUCGUCUCCUCCAUCCGCGCGCCUCGGCGGCGACCCCAUGGAGGGCGGCCGGGUCGGAGCGGUCCCCCGCGUCCCUCCUUUCCCGCUUGGCGCUCUCUACUCCGAGCGCAGCUGCCGCCUCCCUCCGCUCUUCCUAUCUCGCCAGAGCCGCCGCACCCGGAGGCGACCGGCGUUGCUCCAUCUCGAGCUGCCCGUUCCCUUCUCUCCCCGUAGCGGGCGGAGAAGAUGGAGAGGAGCUCGUCCGCCCACCUUCCACCAUGGUUUGCAGCGGCCGGAGAAGAUGGAGAGGCCGAGCUGCGGCUGCCUCGUGUGCGCUCUCCUGCAUCUCGCGCGGGAGCGAGUGGUGGUGACUAGCAUAGAAGGCGGAGGAGGUCAUUGGGGCCGGCUUCCCUUCCGUUUUGGCUGCCAAGCUCCGCGCGUUGGUGUUUGAUGAAAGUUCAGUAAGGCUGUGAGGGAAUACCAAACAAGAGAGGAUCCAGUAUCUGUAACAUGCAUCAGAUAUAGAUUGCAGUCAAGACACCUGCUCCUCAUCAUCGACAGAAGGAAGGGAGCAGCAACCGCAAUAGGCAACGGUGCUGGGCGAACGCGUCAGACAUGAGCCGCUUCGGCUUCUUCCAGCGGCCCAGCCAUGACGCCCUCAAGCCGCCGACGGCAGCGGCCGUCUACCAAGCUACACUGCUCCCGAUCUUCAUCGCCCCACACCGUCGUACUCCGCACAGCUCAGCCUGGCCAUGAUGCUCUUAGGCCGCGGACGCUCACAACGUAGCCGACGGUGGCGACCCACUCCCAAACCGCGUUGCUCUCCGUCAGCGCUGACAGACUUAGUUUGUUUUUCAGUGUGCGCACUAGGUCUUUGAAUAGUUUAAAUCUGAACGCAACAACAAGGCUGCCAUCCUGAGCAUUGACGAAUAGUACAUCAAAGCAUUUUCUGAACUUGCUAAAAGCAAACGUGGAAGCUCUCCCUAAUUCAUCCUUUAAAGGUGGCUCACAGAGAUCGCAGGGAGGCAGGGGAGUUCGAAUUUGUGAGGACAAUGGCGCCAUGGUUGACUAAAUGGCAAUAGGAAGAAGGCACAUCUCAUGUAAUUGUUUUAUUUAAGACAAGUCUGCACUGGGGAGUUCCAAUUUGUGAGGACAAUGGUGCCAUGGUUGACUGAAUGGCAAUAGGAAGAAGGCACGUCUCAUGUAAUUGUUUUAUUUAAGACAAGUCUGCACUCUCUUAUGUCAAAUUUGCAGAUUCCCCUGCCCUAGGCUAUUUCUAAGGGGGAGAGAAGUGUGUUAUUUUUUGUUGGGAUUACAAAGAAUGGUAGUGGUGAGUAUAUGGUAUAUUCUUUUCCCUAUUUUUCUUUAACAUAUUUAGUUUUGGGUAUAGGCACGACCAUUAAAUUCAAUCAUUUCCCUUGUCUCUAUCGAAUUUAAACAUUGCACAAUGAUUUAUUCUCUGUUUUAACCUUGCACUGAAAUCUGAAUUCAGCUCGUGUGCAUGUAUGUUUAUACCUAGCCUAAAAUCUUGUCUCCUGCAUAUUGUGGUAGGUGACCUCGUGUAGGGGUAUUCUUAGCAGUUUAGUGUUGCUUCUCCAUCAUAUCUUGACACCCUUUGAUUAAGUACAUGGUCUGUCUUGCCCAUUAAUCGUUCAUAAUAAAAACAUAGGUAUUACAAACAUCAUUUUGUGGACCAAAUACCGUGUCCAUGUAAUCAUGUUGUCUAUUUAUGAAUUUAUUUGUAUUAUUACUGCUCUACUAUGGUGCGAUUGGUGUUCCAAUUUGUCUAUUUUGGCGUUUCCUACCUUCUCUGUUGUUUCCUUCUGUGUUGCAUGGCGGAGGAAGAAUUUGGUUAUUUGGAGUGUGCACUGGAGCUAUCGGAAGAUAAUUCCAUUACUGGAUUCAUAACUUUUGGAACAUAAGUACAGAAUCGGUGAUAUGCAGCUGGUUGAUUUUCCAACAUAAAGACUAGAGAAUUGCUACAAUUUGAGAUGGCAGUGAAUGCUUAUGAGACUCGCUUUGCUACGAAGGAGAGAUGAAGAUAUACCUGCGGUGGAGGAGGGCGGCGGUUGGUGCCUGUGGAACUGCUGUGUGCCGCAGGCAAUCGAGGCGGCUGAAGCUUGCUGCGGCCCUGAGCCCGUUGCGCGGCGAUGGAAUACAUGGAAACGCCGUGCUGACGACCAACCUGGAAAUAUCGGUUACUAAAUUAGCAGAUCUAUCUAUAGUUUUCCUGUAAAACUAAUAAAUUUGGAAGGCAUGGAUUUGUUGUACGAAGGACUGAUAAAGACAUACCUGCGGUGUGGAGGAGGGCGGCGGUUGGAGCCUGUGGAGCUGCGGUGUGGCGCAGGCAAUCCAGGCGGCUGAAGGUUAUUGCGGCCCUGAGCCCGUUGUGAGCCGAGGGAAUAUAUGGAGACGCCGUACUGACGACCAGCAGAGCGCGGCUGUCUUGCCAUGGAAGCAGCGAACAACUACCACUUAUGCUUUUACCUAUAUAAUCUCUGCUGUUGUUCCUCAUCGAUCUAUUAAUAUGCAUAAUGACAUGCUUAUCUAUAAUUAUUUGUUUUUACUA